rnacentral:rRNA from 1 species
GUGAACGCUGGCGGUAGGCCUAACACCUGCAAGUCGAACGGCAGCACAGUAAGAGCUUGCUCUUACGGGUGGCGAGUGGCGGACGGGUGAGGAAUACAUCGGAAUCUACUUUUUCGUGGGGGAUAACGUAGGGAAACUUACGCUAAUACCGCAUACGACCUACGGGUGAAAGCAGGGGAUCUUCGGACCUUGCGCGAUUGAAUGAGCCGAUGUCGGAUUAGCUAGUUGGCGGGGUAAAGGCCCACCAAGGCGACGAUCCGUAGCUGGUCUGAGAGGAUGAUCAGCCACACUGGAACUGAGACACGGUCCAGACUCCUACGGGAGGCAGCAGUGGGGAAUAUUGGACAAUGGGCGCAAGCCUGAUCCAGCCAUACCGCGUGGGUGAAGAAGGCCUUCGGGUUGUAAAGCCCUUUUGUUGGGAAAGAGAAGCAGCAGGUUAAUACCCCGCUGUUCUGACGGUACCCAAAGAAUAAGCACCGGCUAACUUCGUG